rnacentral:lncRNA from 1 species
AGGCACUCAGUCUGUAUUUUCUCUUGUUAAAUUUCACAGCAACUCUGUGAGUUGUUAGGUGAUAUAAUCACUGAUUUCCAAAUAAGGAGGCCAAGGUUCAGAGUCAUUAAGCAGUUUCACCCAAGAUCACAAAGACAAGAAGUGGCUUUUGGAAUCUGAAGUGGGAUUUGAACAUAGGAUCUUUGACCCUAAGGUUUGAUGCUGAAUGGAAGUUUGCUAGGAAGACAAAGGAAAUAGGAAGCUGUAGAAGGCGUUUCUGGAAGAGGGUGCAGCAUGUACAAAGGCAUGAAGAUAUGAGAUUUUGCAGAUAAUGAAGAAAAGAUCCCAUGCUAGAAAGAGAGAUGUGGGCUCCAUCCUGACUCAUCCUGGUCACCUGAUCGCCCCUGGCUACCUGAUCUACCUGCUCUGAUAUGCCGGUAAUCGUCCUUCCCAGCAAAACACCCACCCUGGGACUCCAGCUCGGACACCUACUAUUAUUUUUUGAAAUAGCCAAUCGGGAUUAGUCUAGCUUGUGCAGUCUAACGCUAGCCAAUAGGGGACAACAUAGCAGUAGGG